rnacentral:rRNA from 1 species
AGUCUAAUGAAUUUAAUAUUAGAUAGCUUCUGCUCAAUGAUUAAUUAAAUAGCCGCAGUACUUUGACUGUGCAAAGGUAGCAUAAUAAAUUGGCUUUUAAAUGGAGUCUAGAAUGAAUGAAUUUUUGGAUAUUUACUGUCUCACUAACUUUAACUUUAAUUUCAUUAUUAGGUGAAAAUGCCUAUAAGACAAAAAAAAGACGAGAAGACCCUAGAAAUUUUUAAUAAAGGAGAUAUUACUUUUAACUUUUUUGUUGGGGCAACAUAGUUACACCUUAUAACUAACUCUAAUAAAACAACUAUAUGCAGAUUAUAUUAAGAUAAUAUAAAUUACUCUAGGGAUAACAGCAUAAUUAUUAAAAAAGUUUGUGACCUCGAUGUUGGACUAGGGUAUCUUAAGCUUAAAAGGUUUAAGAUUUAGUUCUGUUCGAACUUAUACCCCUACAUG